rnacentral:lncRNA from 10 species
AUUACAGAAGGAAGAGAGCUGAGCUCUAAAAGAUUUGGAGGAUCACUUUGGGAUACAGAUGUAAUAAUUGAAUGCUGCUGUGCUCAGGGAAAGGCUUCAGAUUCUCCAUGGCAGUGGACCCUGAAGAUCAGAGUGGACUAUGAAGAUGAACUGCCUGGACUUCAGUCUGAGCUCUGUCAUCUGUUAAUUAAGUGGCUAUAGGCAUUUCUGUUGGCAUCACAGAAAAUGAUUUGGAAGAACAAGACUGUUUAAUACAUUUCUGGAACAGUGAGACACAAGAGGACAAGGCACAGACCAUACAGAUGGAGAGGAGGGGAAAAUAAGAGAUGAAUGAAAAUGAAGUGUGCAAAGGCAAAGCCUGUGCUCCUCCAUUCCAAAGCAGGAAUUAAAUGGUUUAAGUUUGUGAUGGCAGACCAUCUCCUACCACUGCUAUUCACUUAUAAGGAAGAGGACAAGAAAAUGUCCUGCCUUCAACUUAUGUUUGCAAAGAAUGUUUUAAGAUUGAGUUUGUAAUGCAUUGUGUAUUUCUCAGUGAAAAGGGAUAGUCCAGUUUAACAACUGUCCAUUUCACAUUUAGCAAUCUGUUUACACCAUCACAGCCCCCUAUUAUACGCCAAACUACGAAAGGCCUUGAAUGUCAGCCCCCAAAGGUCUUACUUUCUCUAAUAGCCAGCCUAAGGUUAGAGAUCACUCUUACUUUUGCACUUAAAUAAAUGGAUGGUGCUAAACUUCUGUCAUUUAACAAGCUAAAUUAAAG